UAAACCGUACUGAAAACCGACACAGGUGGUCAGGUAGAGAAUACUCAGGCGCUUGAGAGAACUCGGGUGAAGGAACUAGGCAAAAUAGCACCGUAACUUCGGGAGAAGGUGCGCUGGCGUAGGUUGUAGGAGUAUACCUCCGAAGGCUGAACCAGUCGAAGAUACCAGCUGGCUGCAACUGUUUAUUAAAAACACAGCACUCUGCAAACACGAAAGUGGACGUAUAGGGUGUGAUGCCUGCCCGGUGCUGGAAGGUUAAUUGAUGGUGUAAUCGAAAGAGAAGCUCCUGAUCGAAGCCCCAGUAAACGGCGGCCGUAACUAUAACGGUCCUAAGGUAGCGAAAUUCCUUGUCGGGUAAGUUCCGACCUGCACGAAUGGCAUAAUGAUGGCCAGGCUGUCUCCACCCGAGACUCAGUGAAAUUGAAAUCGCCGUGAAGAUGCGGUGUACCCGCGGCUAGACGGAAAGACCCCGUGAACCUUUACUAUAGCUUGACACUGAACAUUGAAUUUUGAUGUGUAGGAUAGGUGGGAGCCUAAGAAGCAGUCACGCCAGUGAUUGUGGAGGCGUCCUUGAAAUACCACCCUUUAACGUUUGAUGUUCUAACGAAGAUUGCGAAACGCGGUCUCGGACAGUGUCUGGUGGGUAGUUUGACUGGGGCGGUCUCCUCCCAAAGAGUAACGGAGGAGCACGAAGGUUUGCUAAUCACGGUCGGACAUCGUGAGGUUAGUGCAAUGGUAUAAGCAAGCUUAACUGCGAGACAGACAAGUCGAGCAGGUGCGAAAGCAGGUCAUAGUGAUCCGGUGGUUCUGAAUGGAAGGGCCAUCGCUCAACGGAUAAAAGGUACUCCGGGGAUAACAGGCUGAUACCGCCCAAGAGUUCAUAUCGACGGCGGUGUUUGGCACCUCGAUGUCGGCUCAUCACAUCCUGGGGCUGAAGUAGGUCCCAAGGGUAUGGCUGUUCGCCAUUUAAAGUGGUACGCGAGCUGGGUUUAGAACGUCGUGAGACAGUUCGGUCCCUAUCUGCCGUGGGCGUUGGAGAAUUGAGAGGGGCUGCUCCUAGUACGAGAGGACCGGAGUGGACGCAUCACUGGUGURCCAGUUGUCUCGCCAGAGGCACUGCUGGGUAGCUAAAUGCGGAAGAGAUAAGUGCUGAAAGCAUCUAAGCACGAAACUCGCCUUAAGAUGAGUUCUCCCACACAAUAAGUGUGUAAGGGUUGUUGGAGACGACGACGUAGAUAGGUCUGGUGUGUAAGCGGUGUGAGCCGUUGAGCUAACAGAUACUAAUUGCCCGAGAGGCUUAACUAU
rnacentral:rRNA from 1 species